rnacentral:rRNA from 1 species
ACUCCUACGGGAGGCAGCAGUAGGGAAUCUUCCACAAUGGGCGCAAGCCUGAUGGAGCAACACCGCGUGAGUGAAGAAGGGUUUCGGCUCGUAAAGCUCUGUUGUUAAAGAAGAACACGUAUGAGAGUAACUGUUCAUACGUUGACGGUAUUUAACCAGAAAGUCACGGCUAACUACGUGCCAGCAGCCGCGGUAAUACGUAGGUGGCAAGCGUUAUCCGGAUUUAUUGGGCGUAAAGAGAGUGCAGGCGGUUUUCUAAGUCUGAUGUGAAAGCCUUCGGCUUAACCGGAGAAGUGCAUCGGAAACUGGAUAACUUGAGUGCAGAAGAGGGUAGUGGAACUCCAUGUGUAGCGGUGGAAUGCGUAGAUAUAUGGAAGAACACCAGUGGCGAAGGCGGCUACCUGGUCUGCAACUGACGCUGAGACUCGAAAGCAUGGAUAGCGAACAGGAUUAGAUA